rnacentral:rRNA from 1 species
GAUGAACGCUGGCGGCGUGCCUAAUACAUGCAAGUCGAGCGAACAGACGAGGAGCUCGCUCCUCUGACGUUAGCGGCGGACGGGUGAGUAACACGUGGAUAACCUACCUAUAAGACUGGGAUAACUACGGGAAACCGGAGCUAAUACCGGAUAAUAUAUUGAACCGCAUGGUUCAAUAGAGAAAGACGGUUUUGCUGUCACUUAUAGAUGGAUCCGCGCCGCAUUAGCUAGUUGGUAAGGUAACGGCUUACCAAGGCAACGAUGCGUAGCCGACCUGAGAGGGUGAUCGGCCACACUGGAACUGAGACACGGUCCAGACUCCUACGGGAGGCAGCAGUAGGGAAUCUUCCGCAAUGGGCGAAAGCUUGACGGAGCAACGCCGCGUGAGUGAUGAAGGUCUUCGGAUCGUAAAACUCUGUUAUUAGGGAAGAACAAAUGUGUAAGUAACUAUGCACGUCUUGACGGUACCUAAUCAGAAAGCCACGGCUAACUACGUG